rnacentral:misc_RNA from 1 species
CGCAGCCGCGGUAAUUCCAGCUCCAAUAGCGUAUAUUAAAGUUGUUGCAGUUAAAAGCUCGUAGUUGAAUUUCGGGGUUAGUAGGUUGGUCAUGCCUCUGGUAUGUACUGGUCUCACUGAUUCCUCCUUCCUGAUGAGCCGUAAUGCCAUUAAUUUGGUGUUGCGGGGAAUUUGGACUGUUACUUUGAAAAAUUAGAGUGUUUAAAGCAAGCUAACGCUUGAAUACAUUAGCAUGGAAUAAUGAAAUAGGACGUUCGAUCCUAUUUUGUUGGUUUCUAGGAUUGACGUAAUGAUUAAUAGGGAUAGUUGGGGGCAUUAGUAUUCAAUUGUCAGAGGUGAAAUUCUUGGAUUUAUUGAAGACUAACUACUGCGAAAGCAUUUGCCAAGGAUGUUUUCAUUAAUCAAGAACGAAAGUUAGGGAUCGAAGACGAUCAGAUACCGUCGUAGUC